AGCGAACAUUGGCGGUAGGCUUAACACAUGCAAGUCGAGCGAGGCGUAAUAGUCGAGCGGCGAACGGGUGAGUAAUACAUGGGAAUCUACCUUGGAGUGGGGGAUAACAGCCAGAAAUGGCUGCUAAUACCGCAUAAUCCAGAGAGGGGAAAGCGCGCUGCGCUCCAAGAUGAGCCCAUGGCUGAUUAGCUAGUUGGUGGGGUAAAGGCCUACCAAGGCGACGAUCAGUAGCUGGUCUGAGAGGAUGAUCAGCCACACUGGGACUGAGACACGGUCCAGACUCCUACGGGAGGCAGCAGUGGGGAAUCUUGCGCAAUGGGGGCAACCCUGACGCAGCUAUACCGCGUGUGCGAUGAAGGUCUUCGGAUUGUAAAGCACUUUCAGUAGGGACGACGAUGACGGUACCUACAGAAUAAGUCACGGCUAACUUCGUGCCAGCCGCCGCAGUAA
rnacentral:rRNA from 1 species